GGAGCAGCUCAUCAUUGAAGAUGCCAUCUCCCCAACCCUCACACAGGAGAGAUGCUGUGUCUGGGGUCUGCCAACACCUGCCAUCAUCCUUCUUUCUAGGCAGCUCCAGCCAGAAGAGAAAAUUUGUUUUUUCUACUUCUGUUCAGCUCCUGAGCACAGAUAGGGUACCAUAGACCCCAAAUGCUCCUAUCUACGGCCAAGCCGCAAGCAUUACCCAAAGAACCAGGAACUUCUCUACCAUACACAACACCCAAUCUCAUGAACAAGGAACGUCCCAGUACACCUUUGGAUUCCCCUAGUCUACAGGAUUCGCCCACCUCCUAGAUAGAUCCUGGAAGAUCACAGCGAGCCUCCCAGGCGCCUCGGCCUUAUUUCCCACUUUCACCACGGCGGAGCAGCUGGAGCAGCAGCAGCAGCAGGAGCAGCAACGCUUAUCUCCAGCUCCCAGCACUUCCCCCGGCGUGCGUGUGGGAGUCGGCGUGCCACGGCCUUGCAGCGGCCGGGGGAGAAGCGCGGCUGGGCCAACAGGAAGGCUCCCUCGCCGUGCGCCGCAUGGCCGGGCCUGCAAUCGGGCGGCUGCAGGGAUUUCCCGUCCCUUCCGCCCGGGCGGCUGCAAGGCCGCGCCAUGGCUUCCUGCGAGGCCUGCAGAGCGUCGGCAGCGCCCGCUGGGCCUCAGGAAGCCGCCGGCCAUGAGCGAGCGGCAGCGGGCAGGCAGGCGGGGGCGAGGAGGUGACACUGGCCAAAACUCAUUUGUUUGGUGGCCGCCAGGCCGACACGCGCUGGCUGAGCCGGAGGAAAACAAAAGCGGGAUGUCUGCUUCAAAAAAGGCAGGAAAUGGAGCAGCACGGGGGGACGGAGAGACCUAUUGGGACUGGGCUGGGGCUUCUCUCUUAACCUAUUGUUUCAUUAUAUAUUAAAAAAAAAAAAAAAGAAAAAAGAGAGAGAAAAAAAGGAAAAUAAAUUGAACACAUCCUGUAAAAAAAAAAAAGAA
rnacentral:lncRNA from 1 species